CUUUCUUUCCCAGGCUGGCGCUGAGAUGGGCAGGUGCUGCAGCAGCCCCGCUGGAAGCGAUGCAGCAUCCAGAACGACGGAGGAAGGGGCGGAGAGGGACCUCUGCUUUCCAGGCUGCCUUUUAUACUGCCUCUGGUCACCUGACAUGGAACGUACCCUAACCUAAUCAGUUACCUGUACCUUAAUUGCAAUUAACUUAAUCCAGUUACAUGACCUGGAAAGGUCUAUCUGCACAGCCCACUCUAAGAUCCUGUCCACUGCUGACAGACAUUCUAAAACCUACUUGUACAGCUGCAAGCUUUGAACAAUAGAUGUUCCCCGUCAGACAUGUAACACUGGUGCCUGUAUCCCUGUCUUCUUUUCCAUCUUUUUUGUUGUUUUGUUUUGUUUCGUUUUAAAAAAUGUGGUAAAAUAGACACCUUUUAAUUGGACCACAUUUUGUCUCUCUCGACGUAGGCCUCAAUGUCAUCAAGGAGACUCUCCUUGACAUGCAGUCACGGCCAUGAUCCAUCUUCAGAGCUUCUCUUUCUUCCCCAAGGUAAGUCUGUCAGCAGAGAACCCUGACCGCACCCUCAUGUGUUUUCUCCCCCAGGAGGCGCUUGGAAACCACCGUGAAUUGGACCGCACUGGGAAACACAGAUGAGGAAAGUCAACAACGCUUUGUCCUUCAGUGCCUGGCUCCUUUUUCAGCUCGUCUUGCGACUCCCGGACGCCUGUGAGGCUCUAAUUCCCUGGGUCCCAUUGCCAUGUCUCUGGAUUUGCGAAGAUCCACCGCACCUUCUGUGGAACUCCCGUGUCGGUGAACUUUUGUGCCACGGCCCCUAAUUCUGCCCAUGGUCAUCCGCACCUGCACGACUUAGGGUCCAUGUUCCUUGGACGGGAAGAGACAGGCAGGAGUCGGAAUGAUGAACCAGCACACUGGGGCGUUUUCUCAUGUAGCCCAAGUGACCCCAUGGUCUUCUCGAGCUUUGGAACCAGUCGCGUCCCCUUUGACACUGCACCCGGCUCCCAGUCUCUCAAUCUUGUUGGCCCUCCGGCGAUCUCCCGUUGGAUGAAUUGCUCCUGCUGAAACUCCAGUCCCCUUUGAUUUGCGCUUCAUUAAUUAUUCAUGAUUCAGGUUGGAAGGCCUGCUGACGACCCCCUGUGGCCGUUCUCUGAGCUUUCCUGUCACAUCGUUUCCUUCCACGCUCUUUGGUUCCUUAUGGUCCUGCUCCCUCUGUUGUCAGAGGAGCAGAGAGUUGAUCUUAUUCAUUCUGGAUACGGAUACUUUCUAGGUGAUCUGGAUAAUCAAGAUAACGACCCUCAACAGCGGCGGAGAGGGAGCAGCCAGUUGGUGUGUCUCAGAAAAUCCCACUGAGUUCCGAGGCCUCCUAGAUGUGGAAUCCUGCUGAGAGUUGUUCCCAGGUCAGAGAAUGGAGAGAGCCUGUGCAUGAUGGGAUAUCCCCGCCUAGAUCUUUCAGUGAGUCUCUACCUCAGCUACUCUUAGGAUCAGGGGGAGAACCAUGGUGUCAGACAUCCGGAAAGAAGACGGGAUGAAUGUUUUACCUCUGAAGUACAUCCCAAAUGUGGGAGUUAACUUCAGCUUUGCUGGGGUCUAUUUGGCCAGUGAAACUCUGCCUGGUUCCUUCGCACAUCCGGAAGCCACUUCACGGGGGGCCGUCGCAACUGGAACCACACACUUGGCAUCGGCGGUUGAGCCAAAUGGGGACUCGUGGUGCAAGCAACGCUCCCCACGUGUUAGCGUGCGUGAGAUGCGGUUGGCGGAAUUUUACUAGGUGCGUGUUGGUAGAGUGGGGCUGAGGUUUUCUUGCUCCUGUGGAUGUAUAGCAAGUCAAAGGUCCUGCCCAGCCCUGCGGUCCCCUCAGUCAACUCUGUUUCGGAGACGUAACGAUUUGGAUUGCCAACAAGUCAAGAAAUGUUCAAGCCCUUGGAUGUAGGGUAAAGAAAGAGAGAUCAGACUGUCACUGUGUCUAUGUAGAAGGGGAAGACAUAAGAGACUCCAUUUUGAAAAAGACCUGUAGUUUAAACAAUUGCUUUGCUGAGAUGUUGAUCAUUUGUAGCUUUGCCGCAGCCCCUUCCUUUGACCCAACUUGGAGCUCACAAAAACCUGUGUUGUAUAAAAUCGAGGUUUAAGGGAUCUAGGGCUGUGCAGGACGCGCCUUGUUAACCAAAUGUUUACGAGCAGUAUACUUGGUAGGAGUCAUUGCCAUUCCCUAGUCUCAAUAAACCAGGGGCGCAAUGCACCGUGGAAAGCCACAGGGACCUCUGCCCUUGAAAGCAGGGUAUUGUCCAAGGUUUCUCCCCAUGUGACAGUCUGAAAUAUGGCCUCGUGGGAUGGGAAAGACCUGACUGUCCCCCAGCCUGACACCCGCAAUGGGUCUGUGCUGAGGUGGAUUAGUCAAAGAGGAAAGCCUCUUGCAGUUCAGAUGGAGGAAGGCCACUGUCUCCUGCUUGCCCCUGGGAACUGAAUGUCUCGGUGUAAAGCCCGAUCGUACAUUUGUUCAACUCUGAGCUCGGAGAAAAGCUGCCCUGUGGCGGGAGGCGAGACAUGUUGGCAGUAAUGCUGCCUUGUUAUUCUUUACUCCGCUGAGAUAUUUGUGUGGAGAGAAACAUAAAUCUGGCCUACGUGCACGUCCAGGCAUAGUACCUUCCCUUGAACUUAAUAAUGAUAUGGAUUCUUUUGCUCACGUGUUUGUUUUUGUUGUUGCUGUUGAACUUCCCCUUAUUAUCACCCUGCUCCCCUACUGCAUUCCUUUGUGCUGUAAUAAUGAUAAUCAUAAUCAAUAAAAACUGAGGGAACUCAGAGGCCGGUGCCGGUGCAGGUCCUAGGUGUGCUGAGUGCCGGUCCCCUGGACCCACUGUUGUCUCCCUAUA
rnacentral:lncRNA from 10 species